rnacentral:lncRNA from 1 species
AUAAGAUCGAAAGCGGAACGAUCGAAAGAAAUCUGUGGGCAGGAAAUGGGUCUGCGAUGGGCGGUUCUAUGGGUUUACUUUGUACAAUCCCGCGCUGUCUUUUCCGUGGCCAUUAAUUUAAGUCCGACACCUUAUCCAUCAAAAAAUAUAUAUUUUCGCUACAAAACAAUUUUCAUAGAACAUAAGGUGAGUACACAAACUAUCUCGAAAUCAAGUUAGCUUAGUUAUAUGCGUAGGUAAGCAAAUAGUUUCUAUCUAAUAAUGUGUAUACUGACCCAGACAGAAGCUGGCUCCGAUCAUUCGAAGGAUGGUCUACAGUCGCGUGCAGCGCUCAUGCUGCCAUUUGAAGCGUUUGGGACGUUGGUCAUCAACCGUCAAAAACAAGGAGUUAUUCAGCAUACUGGAGAGUAAAAGUUGGCCAGUUUAAUGUUUGCUGAAUGCCAAAAACAAUAUUGAUUUGUACUAGUAAUUCAUGUUUAACUGGUUGGCCAGUUUUCCUAAAGGAUCAACCGAGGUCUUCAGCAUCUCCGUGGUCAACAAUCCAGCCAUUUUUCUCCAAAUCUAACUGGUUGAGAACUCUCAAUGUCAGGGGACACACAGGCCUACACAGAGAGGAGCGGGCAGAGGAAAGAGGUGCUUACUUCUGAAGAAUGAGGAGACCCCGAGGAUCUUCACCUGCCUCCUGACAUGUGCACGUAAGCAUCCUGACGCGUGCGCGUAUGCAUCCUGACGCAUGCACGUAUGCAUCCUGACGCGUGCGCGUAUGCAUCCUGACGCGUGCGCGUAUGCAUCCUGACGCGUGCGCGUAUGCAUCCUGACGCGUGCGCGUAUGCCUCCUGACGCGUGCGCGUAUGCAUCCUGACGCGUGCGCGUAUGCAUCCUGACGCGUGCGCGUAUGCAUCCUGACGCGUGCACGUAUGCAUCCUGACGCGUGCACGUAUGCAUCCUGACGUGUGCACGUUCGAUCUGCUCACUGCCUCCCAUUGAUGACUUUUGACAUCCCUAAAAGAGACCAGGGAGGAUGGAGGAGACUCCGG